UAACGGCGUCGAGCGGCGGACGGGUGAGUAAUGCCUAGGAAAUUGCCCUGAUGUGGGGGAUAACCAUUGGAAACGAUGGCUAAUACCGCAUAACGCCUACGGGCCAAAGAGGGGGACCUUCGGGCCUCUCGCGUCAGGAUAUGCCUAGGUGGGAUUAGCUAGUUGGUGAGGUAAGGGCUCACCAAGGCGACGAUCCCUAGCUGGUCUGAGAGGAUGAUCAGCCACACUGGAACUGAGACACGGUCCAGACUCCUACGGGAGGCAGCAGUGGGGAAUAUUGCACAAUGGGCGCAAGCCUGAUGCAGCCAUGCCGCGUGUGUGAAGAAGGCCUUCGGGUUGUAAAGCACUUUCAGUCGUGAGGAAGGUAGUGUAGUUAAUAGCUGCAUUAUUU
rnacentral:rRNA from 1 species